rnacentral:rRNA from 1 species
CCCUUGUACACACCGCCCGUCACGACCAUGGGAGUUGGUUUUACCUGAAAGGCGGUGCGCUAACCCGCCAAGGGAGGGCAGCCGACCCACGGUAGGGUCAGCGACUGGGGUG